UGCAUGGGAUGCUGCUGCUGAUGCUGCUGCAGAGGCUCCAUCCAUCCGUCCACCCAUCGCUCCAUCCCUUCCCUCCCUCGAAGAGAAAGCAGAAAACAAGGAGUGGUUAUGUGAUUCCCCAUAAGCAGGAGGAGAAGUGCACAGGAGAGAAAGGAAUAGCAGGGAGAGGAGGAGGAGGGGGGGGGGCGUUUCCCUGCACGGUAUAGCCUAUUCUCACUCCUCAGCAUGGAUACAAUGUGAUGCAUAUGGGGCUGCUUCUUCAGGAAAGGUGGACACAGCGGUGCUAUCCUGAAAGAUUUGCCUCCGCACAGACCUCCUCCUUCCUUCCCUCCACACUGCGAUCAUACUCAGAGAGCUGAAGAGGCUGAAAAAGGAUGCACACAGAGACGAAGAAGAAUGGAGGAAACCAGGAGAGGAAAAAAAAGUAAUGGAAGUGGAGGAGGUGGGACUCUUUGCUCCGGUCUCGACCACGGGUAUUCUUGGGUUGAUAAUACAGAUGUGGAUGUUAUUGCUUGAGAAUACGCGUAGUCGAGUGGAAGCUUUGUCAUCUAUAAGGGUCCAAAAAGCAGAGAUCUAUUCAGUAAAUUACAAUAGCAGACACAUAGAAAUGUGUAGACGGGACGAGGAGGUGGCACAGACAUGGGAUGGUUUUUAAUUAAGCACCCAGAGGUGACUUUUUUUUUAUAGGAAAGGGCUUAUUUUGUUCUAUCAGAAAAGGCUUUUUAAAUAGAACGCAAUCAGGGGCCAGCCAAAUCAAAUCCAGCCACUGAAAAGGUUUUAUCAUCGUAGCUUUAUCAACCAUGUCACUCUUCACACCUGUGGAGGAAAUGAGUUUGUUUCGCCGCCCAAUUUCAGCCUCUCCUGCAGGAGGGGUGGGGGCUCGCACCAUGCCACUAAGCUAAACCCCCCCCAGGCAUUAGUUCAGGGAGCUUAACACAAAAGUCUUCAGACUCAGACGUUAAUUCCAAACCUUCUUGAUUACAUACCCUUGUCAGUCAGUCGAGCACACAAGUGAGCCCAUAAUCUUAUCAGUUGAUGAAUGUCUUUCACAGCCCUUCACACUCUGCACCAAACAUUUCCCUCAUUCUGAACGGAAAUUUUUAAGUUUGCAAAAUCUGUGCAAAAAAAAAAAAAAAAAAAGCUUUUUUUUUUUUUUGUUGUGGGACGGAAAUGCCACGGGAUGGUAGAUAUUUGUGCAUAACCAUCAUCCCGCUGCUGCCUCUACUUUCACACUCCUAUUUUCUGUCUUCCUGGCUCAUGCUAAAAAUGUGCAAAGAGUUUGAUGCCUGUAGCAGCAACAGGAGACAGUAACACAUGAGGACAUGUCAAGGCUUGCACCCGUUGCUGACAUUUCAGCUUUCGGCUCAGCUGACUGGCUGUCAUAAUGGAGACUCACACACAUACAUACACACACACACACACACACACACACAUAUAUAUAUAUAAACUGCACGAGGGUUCACAUGAUCUACAUGCCUGUAGGGAAAUAAGGGAUUGAUGGGUCUUAAGAAAACCAGCAUUCAGAUCCCCACACAUACAUAUUUGGAUGCACACACAUUGCAGUGAGGUUCAAUGGGUCCAUGUGCCAGUGGGGAAAUAAGGGAUUGAUUGAUAUUAUGGGUAACUAUUUUUAGUCAGAAUGAUGGAUGUUUAUGUCUUUUAUCGAUCAAGUUGAGGUGCAGGUCUGAAGAAUUCAUAGAGUCAGAGCAUGCUGAUUAAUCAGGUAGCGGUGGAGUUGGAAUAAAACAUCCAGAAAUACAUUUUAGGUACAUUAGCAUUAUUGCUAAGUACUAUAAAUUAAAAUCUCAAAGUUUCAUUGCAAAUUCAGCAAUAUAUUAGCAUCUGUUAGCGAAUGUGCCUGUGAUGAAUUACACUCUCAUCGCUUACUACUCCAUGAUUUCUUACUCCUGCGUAAGCAAAUCUCUUAUUUAUUAGCGCAGUAAGUAAUUAUAAUUUAUACACAUUUCACACUGACGUGUAAACUUGUUGAUUUGGCAAAGCUGUUUCUGUGGUUUUGUGUGUAUUUGUGUAUGCAUGUGCAUGUGUGUGUGUUCUAAGCAACAAAAUGACUAUUGUGAGCACAGCUCCAGGUGCCUAGCAACCGAAUGGCUCUGUUUCCUUGGCAACAGUUGCCUCGCACUCACUGUGUGGGUGAUUGGCAGCCUUGACAACGGAGACGGAGUGACACUUGACCUCGCGUGCUGAAUGGUAGAGGAGAAAGAAGGAGCGAGAAAUAGAAGAGAGAGGGGGAGGCAGUGGGAGGGGACGAGCACAGACAGAUGAGAGACUAAGUGAUAAUCAUUCUCUAUUGUAAUCAUCCUCCAGCAUGUUUCAUAAGGCGUCGGCAAUACCUCUCCAGCUGGGGUCCAUCAUCAAACACAAUGCACGGUGAAGGGGCGCGCAUGCACGACACACUCCUUCCUGGGUGGAGAGCCCAGGCAGGCACUCCACAUCUCAUCUAUUAUCACUCAGCUCUGCCUGGUGCACAGCCUCACUACACUGUGUCUGCUUUCAUUUGUGAUCCGCUACAUCCUGCGCUCAGCGGGCAUGAAUGGAUACUGGACUCCUGAAAAUGUGUCACGGUCACAGAUGCCACAGGAGAGUAGAUCAGAAGCCGUGCACAGACACGCUUUACUUUGAACGUGGCACUUCCACUGCUGUUUGACACCUUUGAAUUGAAGUGGUGUAAUUAUUAAAAAUGUGUUUUUUGGUCGUUCUCCAUCCCAUUCUCUGGCUGAGGGGAUCCCUUUGUACCAGGUUUAUCAAAAAAAACAUGUUUUUCUAGGCUGGCUACACCUGUGUUAAAUGAUGGGAGGGAAAAGUAGAGAACAGAAAGAUCAAAUAAAACAACAUAUUUGGAGAGUAAGCCUUUUCUUUAAUUUUACACUCUUAUAUUAAGUCAACACAAGGCUAUUUCAAUUUAACUGUUACCUUUUCAUUUGUCACCAGCUGGUUAUUCUCUUUCUCAUUCUUUAGGAGACAAUCACAACCUUUGAUUUCCUAGUUAUAAAAAAAGCUUCAUAUAUUAACAUUACGACAUACUCCUACAUAUUCAAAUUCAAAGAUCGGUUAUUGUGUGGUUCAGGUUGUAGCUUUUUUUGUCCUGUGUAAGCCGUUGUAAUGAUCUCCCUUUAACUCUAUUAAAACAAAAGGACAUUCACCUUAUCAUAACACAAUAAACUGAAAACCAACCAACA